GAUGAAGAACGCAGCGAAAUGCGAUAAGUAGUGUGAAUUGCAGAAUUCAGUGAAUCAUCGAAUCUUUGAACGCACAUUGCGCCCCUUGGUAUUCCAUGGGGCAUGCCUGUUCGAGCAUCAUUUGUACCUUCAAGCUUUGCUUGGUGUUGGGUGUUUGUCCCUCGGGACUCGCCUUAAAGUCAUUGGCAGCCAGUGUUUUGGUUUUGAAGCGCAGCACAAGUCGCGAUUCAAGGCUAUCCGCCCGCUUCCACAAGCCUUUUUCACUUUUGACCUCGGAUCAGGUAGGGAUACCCGCUGAACUUAAGCAUAUCAAUAAGCGGAGGA
rnacentral:misc_RNA from 1 species